GAAAAGAAAUCAGUUCAGCACUAAGUCACUUUGUCUUUAUGGCAAAUGUGAGAUGCAGUGUAUGGAAUGUCAAAUUUCUAGUAUGAGAAAUUAACGAUUUAAGUCCUUCUUAAAUGAGGCCAUUUACCCAUAGAGGGUGCCAGGCCCGUAUAACGUUAAUGAUUACUAGAUGGCAUUUCCAAAGAGUCGUGUUGCUUGAUAGUGCAGCACUAAGUGGGUGGUAAACUCCAUCUAAAACUAAAUAUAACCAUGAGACCGAUAGUAAACAAGUACCGUGAGGGAAAGUUGAAAAGAACUCUGAAUAGAGAGUUAAAUAGUACGUGAAACUGCUUAGAGGUUAAGCCCGAUGAACCUGAAUAUCCAUUAUAGAAAAUUCAUCAUUAUGAUUUUAAUAUUUAUAAUAUUAUAAUAAUGGUGUGCAUUUUUUCUAUAACGGACAUUGUAAUCUAUUAACAUAAAUAAAUUUAUCAUAAGAUCAAUGAUGCGUAAGUUUAUUCAAAUUAUUUUGCUUGCAAUUUAACAUAGAAUAAAUGCUCUUGAUUUGAUAAAGUGUUGAUAGAUUUAUUGUAUAUAGUGCUUAAAUAUUUAUAUUUUAUAAUAGCAUAUUAAUCAUUGAUUUUUAUGUUUAUUAUAUGCACUUAUAUGAUUAACAAUGCGAAAGAUUCAGGAUACCUUCGGGACCCGUCUUGAAACACGGACCAAGGAGUCUAACAUAUUUGCAAGUUAUUGGGUAUCAAAACCUAAUAGCGAAAUUAACAUAACUUUAAUGGGAUUAGUUUUUAGAUUAUUUAUAGUCUAUUAAUUCAAUCCCGGGGCGUUCUAUAUAGUUAUGUAUAAUAAUAUUUAUAUUAUUUAUACCUCUAACUAGAGCGUACCUUGAGCAUAUAUGCUGUGACCCGAAAGAUGGUGAACUAUACUUGAUCAGGUUGAAGUCAGGGGAAACCCUGAUGGAAGACCGAAACAGUUCUGACGUGCAAAUCGAUUGUCAGAAUUGAGUAUAGGGGCGAAAGACCAAUCGAACCAUCUAGUAGCU
rnacentral:rRNA from 1 species